rnacentral:rRNA from 1 species
UGGGGAAUAUUGGACAAUGGGCGAAAGCCUGAUCCAGCCAUGCCGCGUGAAUGAUGAAGGCCUUAGGGUUGUAAAGUUCUUUUGCCAGGGAAGAUAAUGACGGUACCUGGAGAAUAAGCACCGGCUAACUUCGUGCCAGCAGCCGCGGUAAUACGAAGGGUGCUAGCGUUGUUCGGAAUUACUGGGCGUAAAGCGCGCGUAGGCGGCUAUACAAGUCAGAGGUGAAAUCCCGGGGCUCAACCCCGGAACUGCCUUUGAAACUGUAUAGCUGGAGUGUGUGAGGGGAUGGCGGAAUUCCUAAUGUAGAGGUGAAAUUCGUAGAUAUUAGGAGGAACACCGGUGGCGAAGGCGGCCAUCUGGCACACAACUGACGCUGAGGCGCGAAAGCGUGGGGAUCAAACAGG